CAAGCAAAUAGAAGACAGAAUAUAUCGUAAAAGUCAUAUCUUUCUAAAAAAUGGAUUUCAGAGGCAGUAAUUUUAAUUAUGUACACCAGAGAACAGAGGCUAAGUUCAUGAAAUAAGGUGUGAAGCAAUGAGUAAAUAUUAGAGUUCAAGCAAGAAGAGGAGUGGGUGAGAGCUGGCAGUUGAACAGGACUGUACUCUGGAGCGUCAGAAGGCAGAGUCUGAGUGUUUUGCAGCUCUAAAUAUUCCACCAGAUUCCUGCUCCCCUUAUCCCUCUCUCUUGGUAUUUCACAUGUAACAGGAACUUAUGACCCUGAACAACAUGAAGAAUUCAUACAGUAAUGUUAAGGAACAAUUAAGAUGAUUCUUAUAGCAGCACAUUGCACUUCUGAUAUGGACCAAGAAAAAAGCAUCACCAAAAUUACACCAGUCAAGCUUCUACCGCUGGAUGUUGAGAGAUUACACGUUUCUGCAACCAUUUUUUAUGUGAGAUUUGAGAAGAGAUUAUUUUUUUCAAAAGAGAAGAGCCGUACUGAAGAGCUAAGACCUAUUUUGGGGUAG
rnacentral:lncRNA from 1 species